rnacentral:rRNA from 1 species
UACGAAGGGGCUAGGCGUUGCUCGGAAUCACUGGGCGUAAAGCGCACGUAGGCGGAUUUCUAAGUCAGGGGUGAAAGUCCCGGAGCUCAACUCCGGAACUGCCUUUGAUACUGGAGAGCUUGAGUCCGGAAGAGGUGAGUGGAACUGCGAGUGUAGAGGUGAAAUUCGUAGAUAUUCGCAAGAACACCAGUGGCGAAGGCGGCUCACUGGUCCGGUACUGACGCUGAGGUGCGAAAGCGUGGGGAGCAAACAGG